rnacentral:rRNA from 1 species
GAUGAACGCUGACAGAAUGCUUAACACAUGCAAGUCUUUGGCGAAGCUGUGCUUGCACAGCCUAGCCAAGGCGGACGGGUGAGUAACGCGUAAGGAACUUGCCCUGCAGUCAGGGAUAACAGACGGAAACGACUGAUAAGACCUGGUAAAGUCAGGCGGACUCAUGUCCAGCCUGAUGAAAAGAGAUGCUGCAGGAGAGCCUUGCGUCCUAUUAGCUUGUUGGUGGGGUAACGGCCCACCAAGGCGAUGAUAGGUAGCCGGCCUGAGAGGGUGGACGGCCACAAGGGGACUGAGAUACGGCCCUUACUCCUACGGGAGGCAGCAGUGGGGAAUAUUGGACAAUGGGGGCAACCCUGAUCCAGCAAUUCUGUGUGCACGAUGAAGGUUUUCGGAUUGUAAAGUGCUUUCAGCAGGGAAGAAAAAAAUGACGGUACCUGCAGAAGAAGCGGCGGCUAAAUACGUG